UAUUGGUCAAUGGGCGGGAGCCUGAACCAGCCAAGUCGCGUGAGGGACGACGGUCCUAUGGAUUGUAAACCUCUUUUGUCGGGGAACAAAGGCGCCCACGGGUGGGCGGAUGAGUGCACCCGCACAAAAAGCAUCGGCUAACCCCGUGCCAGCAGCCGCGGUAAUACGGAGGAUGCGAGCGUUAGCCGGAUUUAUUGGGUUUAAAGGGUGCGUAGGCGGACGGUCAAGUCAGCGGUAAAAAUGCGGUGCUCAACGCCGUACAGCCGUUGAAACUGGCAGUCUUGAGUGGGCGAGAAGUAUGCGGAAUGCGUGGUGUAGCGGUGAAAUGCAUAGAUAUCACGCAGAACUCCGAUUGCGAAGGCAGCAUACCGGCGCCCUACUGACGCUGAGGCACGAAAGCGUGGGUAUCG
rnacentral:rRNA from 1 species